rnacentral:rRNA from 1 species
GAUGAACGCUAGCGGCAGGCUUAACACAUGCAAGUCGAGGGGUAGAAGGAGCUUGCUCCUUUGAGACCGGCGCACGGGUGCGUAACGCGUAUGCAAUCUACCUUUUGCAGAGGAUAGCCCAGAGAAAUUUGGAUUAAUACCUCAUAGUAUGUGAGGAUGGCAUCAUUUUCACAUUAAAGUCACAACGGUAAAGAUGAGCAUGCGUCCCAUUAGUUAGUUGGUAAGGUAACGGCUUACCAAGACAAUGAUGGGUAGGGGUCCUGAGAGGGAGAUCCCCCCACACUGGUACUGAGACACGGACCAGACUCCUACGGGAGGCAGCAGUGAGGAAUAUUGGACAAUGGGCGCAAGCCUGAUCCAGCCAUGCCGCGUGCAGGAUGACGGUCCUAUGGAUUGUAAACUGCUUUUUAUACAGGAAGAAACACUCCGACGUGUCGGAGCUUGACGGUACUGUAAGAAUAAGGAUCGGCU